AGUGAACGCUGGCGGUAGCCCUAACACAUGCAAGUCGAACGGCAGCACAGUAAGAGCUUGCUCUUACGGGUGGCGAGUGGCGGACGGGUGAGGAAUACAUCGGAAUCUACUUUUUCGUGGGGGAUAACGUAGGGAAACUUACGCUAAUACCGCAUACGACCUACGGGUGAAAGCAGGGGAUCUUCGGACCUUGCGCGAUUGAAUGAGCCGAUGUCGGAUUAGCUAGUUGGCGGGGUAAAGGCCCACCAAGGCGACGAUCCGUAGCUGGUCUGAGAGGAUGAUCAGCCACACUGGAACUGAGACACGGUCCAGACUCCUACGGGAGGCAGCAGUGGGGAAUAUUGGACAAUGGGCGCAAGCCUGAUCCAGCCAUACCGCGUGGGUGAAGAAGGCCUUCGGGUUGUAAAGCCCUUUUGAUGGGAAAGAAAAGCAGCAGGUUAAUACCCCGCUGUUCUGACGGUACCCAAAGAAUAAGCACCGGCUAACUUCGUG
rnacentral:rRNA from 1 species